rnacentral:rRNA from 1 species
GACGAACGCUGGCGGCGUGCUUAACACAUGCAAGUCGUACGGUAAGGCCCUUUCGGGGGUCCACGAGUGGCGAACGGGUGAGUAACACGUGAGUAACCUGCCCACAACUUUGGGAUAACGCUAGGAAACUGGUGCUAAUACUGGAUAUGUGCUCCUGCUGCAUGGUGGGGGUUGGAAAGCUCCGGCGGUUGUGGAUGGACUCGCGGCCUAUCAGCUUGUUGGUGGGGUAGUGGCCUACCAAGGCGGCGACGGGUAGCCGGCCUGAGAGGGUGACCGGCCACAUUGGGACUGAGAUACGGCCCAGACUCCUACGGGAGGCAGCAGUGGGGAAUAUUGCACAAUGGGCACAAGCCUGAUGCAGCAACGCCGCGUGCGGGAUGACGGCCUUCGGGUUGUAAACCGCUUUCAGCAGGGACGAAGCUUUUUGUGACGGUACCUGCAGAAGAAGCACCGGCUAACUACGUG